CCAUCCUUUCACUCAAUCUUAAUAUCUCACUUGUCGCGUCGUCCUUCGCGUAAGCUUUACCGUGUCUAAACCCUUCACCUAAUCUGCUGCAUCGCCUCUUAUUCUUUUUUGGUUAGGGUAGCUGUCUUUAAUCCUGCGACGGUGUUCUGUGAUUCAUGCUGGCUGUAUCAGACGUUCUAAU
rnacentral:rRNA from 1 species